rnacentral:rRNA from 1 species
GCUAUGCCCGAUCUCGUCUGAUCUCGGAAGCUAAGCAAGUUUGGGCCUGGUUAGCACUUUGAUGAGAGACUGCCUAGGAAUACCAGGUGCUUUAAACUU